rnacentral:rRNA from 1 species
AUGGCUGUCGUCAGCUCGUGUCGUGAGAUGUUGGGUUAAGUCCCGCAACGAGCGCAACCCACGUCGUUAGUUGCCAGCAUUUAGUUGGGCACUCUAGCGAGACCGCCGGUGAUAAACCGGAGGAAGGUGUGGAUGACGUCAAGUCAUCAUGCCCCUUACAUCCUGGGCUACACACGUACUACAAUGCUACGGACAAAGGGCAGCAAACUCGCGAGAGCUAGCAAAUCCCAUAAACCGUGGCUCAGUUCAGAUCGUAGGCUGCAACUCGCCUACGUGAAGGAGGAAUCGCUAGUAAUCGCAGGUCAGCAUACUGCGGUGAAUACGUUCCCGGGCCUUGUACACACCGCCCGUGGGGCGGGGGCGGCGGGCCGGGCGCGGGGCGCGGGCGGGCG